rnacentral:rRNA from 1 species
GAUGAACGCUGGCGGCGUGCUUAACACAUGCAAGUCGAACGAUGAAGCCCAGCUUGCUGGGUGGAUUAGUGGCGAACGGGUGAGUAACACGUGAGUAACCUGCCCUUAACUCUGGGAUAAGCCUGGGAAACUGGGUCUAAUACCGGAUAGGAGCGUCCACCGCAUGGUGGGUGUUGGAAAGAUUUAUCGGUUUUGGAUGGACUCGCGGCCUAUCAGCUUGUUGGUGAGGUAAUGGCUCACCAAGGCGACGACGGGUAGCCGGCCUGAGAGGGUGACCGGCCACACUGGGACUGAGACACGGCCCAGACUCCUACGGGAGGCAGCAGUGGGGAAUAUUGCACAAUGGGCGCAAGCCUGAUGCAGCGACGCCGCGUGAGGGAUGACGGCCUUCGGGUUGUAAACCUCUUUCAGUAGGGAUGAAGCGAAAGUGACGGUACCUGCAGAAGAAGCACCGGCUAACUACGUG